GACAUUGUUGGAAAUUUUAGAAUUUAUGCUAAGGGAAGGCAUUCAAAAGGUAAUGUGCUUGGUUUUCCUUUCUCAUUUUAAGCUUCUUAUGAAUUUUCUAAUUGUUUCUUUGCUGAAGAUUAUGGGACUUCAUUCCUAACCGCAAGCUCACGACAAAGCUCCCUUGAGUAAUUUUUUUAAUGUUAGACGUCCCAGUGCCGCCCAAGAUGGUUUAUGCGUAGCUAUGAAAAUUGUUAAAAAUGAAUGAUUAUGCAAUAAUAUAAAUGCAUGUCUGAUAAUUAUUGACUUAAUUGUCAAGUUGAAGUUGUGGCUCUUCCUAGUUAUGCAGAAAGAAAAGUGCAAUUUAAGGAGCAGGUACGCUUAUGUAAAACACCACAUCGAUAAAAAUUAAACCGAAUCAUUUGUUUAUAGAACGCAUGACUAUAUCAUUUGUCUUUAAUUGCCAGGUUGAAGUUGUGGUUCUUCCUAUUUAUGCAAAGAGGAAAGAGUAAUUAAAGAGCAGGUAGACUUGUGUAAUUUAAUUGCUG
rnacentral:lncRNA from 1 species